AUUGAACGCUGGCGGAAUGCUUUACACAUGCAAGUCGAACGGCAGCAUAGGUGCUUGCACCUGAUGGCGAGUGGCGAACGGGUGAGUAAUACAUCGGAACGUGCCCAGUCGUGGGGGAUAACGUAGCGAAAGUUACGCUAAUACCGCAUACGAUCUACGGAUGAAAGCGGGGGACCGUAAGGCCUCGCGCGAUUGGAGCGGCCGAUGUUAGAUUAGGUAGUUGGUGGGGUAAAGGCUCACCAAGCCGACGAUCUAUAGCUGGUCUGAGAGGAUGAUCAGCCACACUGGGACUGAGACACGGCCCAGACUCCUACGGGAGGCAGCAGUGGGGAAUUUUGGACAAUGGGCGCAAGCCUGAUCCAGCCAUUCCGCGUGCAGGACGAAGGCCUUCGGGUUGUAAACUGCUUUUGUACAGAACGAAAAGCUUUGAGUUAAUACCUCGGGGUCAUGACGGUACUGUAAGAAUAAGCACCGGCUAACUACGUACG
rnacentral:rRNA from 1 species